rnacentral:lncRNA from 1 species
GGGCUUACCACGAGCACGGGGACCCCGGCGGCCAGCGAGUAGAGGAGCACGGGGGGCACGGCGCUGCUGUCCUCCGGGCCCGGGUAGGGUUUGCGGUAGGCGCUGUCGUGGCAGAAGAAGCCCUGCACGUUCACGGUGAACGUGUCCGUAUACUCGAAGUAGUACGCCAGCAUCACCGUCCCUGCCAUGAUCACCAUCUGGAAAUAGAGCAUGCUGCUGGUAUACCGAUGGCUGCAGCCUGAGCCAGUGACUUUAAGCCUUGGACAUCAAGCAGGCAAACCAGGCAAGAUUUUGACCUUGCUGCAUUACUGCAGCUUCCUGAUGAAUUCACUCACUUCCAAUGACAGCAGAAGGAUUACUCACACUGAUAAAGGAAAUUGGCGGAAGCUACCCAGAAGGGCCACACCUCCAAAAGGUUUUUUUAAGUACAUGAAACAUUGAUGCACGUGCCCCGCCUGGCUUGGAAGUCCAGGACCAAGGUUCCAGCUGUCUGGCUGCAUCCACAUAUGGAGGAAGGCAGAAGUAAUGUAUUGGAAUCCAGGAAAAACUGCAAUCCUUGGAAUGUACUUUAAUCUAGCUCUUCAGACUUCCUCUGAUCCUGCUUACUGUAUUUCACUUGGGGAAUUAAGUUAUCUGAAUUCAGUGCAACAUUGCAAGUCUCUCCCUGUUUGUGUUUGGAAGUUGUAGUCUCUGAAUGAAUGUAGGAACACUAGGAU